CGGUUGUGGGUUGAACGGUUGGUAUCAGAGCCGUACUGUGCUGGAGUCUACUUCAAUUCAGACUAAAUUUCAGCGUAAACCGGCUCUGAUACCAAUUGUGGCUUACUCACUG
rnacentral:pre_miRNA from 1 species